UGGGGAAUAUUGGACAAUGGGCGAAAGCCUGAUCCAGCCAUGCCGCGUGUGUGAAGAAGGUCUUCGGAUUGUAAAGCACUUUAAGUUGGGAGGAAGGGCAUUAACCUAAUACGUUAGUGUUUUGACGUUACCGACAGAAUAAGCACCGGCUAACUCUGUGCCAGCAGCCGCGGUAAUACAGAGGGUGCAAGCGUUAAUCGGAAUUACUGGGCAUAAAGCGCGCGUAGGUGGUUUGUUAAGGUGGAUGUGAAAUCCCCGGGCUCAACCUGGGAACUGCAUUCAAAACUGACUGACUAGAGUAUGGUAGAGGGUGGUGGAAUUUCCUGUGUAGCGGUGAAAUGCGUAGAUAUAGGAAGGAACACCAGUGGCGAAGGCGACCACCUGGACUAAUACUGACACUGAGGUGCGAAAGCGUGGGGAGCAAACA
rnacentral:rRNA from 1 species